rnacentral:tRNA from 1 species
GUAAGAUAAGCUAACCAAGCUUCUGGGCCCAUACCCCAAAAAUGUAGAUCAACCACUACUCUUGCUA